CACCCCUGCUGUCUAACAAACUGCCCUGACAUUAACCUCAUGUUUUUAUAAAUGACAGACUUCCUCAAUUCAGCAAAGCAGAGCAGCCCUUUGGAGUGAAAGGAAGCACAUUAAUCUCCACCAUGUCAGAAAGAAAUGUGCAUUUUGCAAUGGACGCACUGCCACAUGUCUCUCAGCCUUGGAAAAGGAGGAGUUGAUGAGCAGGCCUUGAGACAGUGUUGAGAAGAGGGUUGCUAGAGUGCAGCUGGAUGGGGCAGUGGAGAUCAUGGGUUGCGUCUUCCACAGUCUUCAAAAAUGAUCUCCAAGAGGAAGGGAUGCAACAGAGAGCUGGAAGGAGAAAAGAUUGAAAGCUGUUAUGCAUAAGGAGUUGCUGGUGAUUUGUUUCAAAGCCUACAGAAGACAGAAACUUCUUUGAACAUUACACUGAAUGGCAUGAGAUGUGAGGAAUUUGUUUUUGAAUGUCAUGCCCUGGAUAUUUUAACACCAGGGAUGUGUACACAUUGCCAGAGUAAAAUGCAUCUUUCUCUCAAUUUGGAUUGAAGCGGGUUUAGGGAGAAAUGCACCAGAAUGCAGUAUUUCCAGGAAAGGACAGGAUAGAUAUGGAUUGUGGCUGAAUUUGUACAUACACCACUUCCCAAACCAGUGAUGAGAGAGCACUGGAUGCCAGGUAAACAGGAGUGUGUACACAGCCUCUAUGUUUUUGGGAAAUCAACAAAGCACUCUGUGGCACAUCUUUGAUA